UAACGAAGUGGUUGAUGCCAUGCUUCCAAGAAAAGCUUCUAAGCUUCAGGUAACCAGGAACCGUACCCCAAACCGACACAGGUGGUUGGGUAGAGAAUACCAAGGCGCUUGAGAGAACUCGGGUGAAGGAACUAGGCAAAAUGGCACCGUAACUUCGGGAGAAGGUGCGCCGGUGAGGGUGAAGGACUUGCUCCGUAAGCCCAUGCCGGUCGAAGAUACCAGGCCGCUGCGACUGUUUAUUAAAAACACAGCACUCUGCAAACACGAAAGUGGACGUAUAGGGUGUGACGCCUGCCCGGUGCCGGAAGGUUAAUUGAUGGGGUUAGCUAACGCGAAGCUCUUGAUCGAAGCCCCGGUAAACGGCGGCCGUAACUAUAACGGUCCUAAGGUAGCGAAAUUCCUUGUCGGGUAAGUUCCGACCUGCACGAAUGGCGUAACGAUGGCGGCGCUGUCUCCACCCGAGACUCAGUGAAAUUGAAAUCGCUGUGAAGAUGCAGUGUAUCCGCGGCUAGACGGAAAGACCCCGUGAACCUUUACUAUAGCUUUGCACUGGACUUUGAAUUUGCUUGUGUAGGAUAGGUGGGAGGCUUUGAAGCGUGGACGCCAGUCUGCGUGGAGCCAACCUUGAAAUACCACCCUGGCAACUUUGAGGUUCUAACUCAGGUCCGUUAUCCGGAUCGAGGACAGUGUAUGGUGGGUAGUUUGACUGGGGCGGUCUCCUCCUAAAGAGUAACGGAGGAGUACGAAGGUGCGCUCAGACCGGUCGGAAAUCGGUCGUAGAGUAUAAAGGCAAAAGCGCGCUUGACUGCGAGACAGACACGUCGAGCAGGUACGAAAGUAGGUCUUAGUGAUCCGGUGGUUCUGUAUGGAAGGGCCAUCGCUCAACGGAUAAAAGGUACUCCGGGGAUAACAGGCUGAUACCGCCCAAGAGUUCAUAUCGACGGCGGUGUUUGGCACCUCGAUGUCGGCUCAUCACAUCCUGGGGCUGAAGCCGGUCCCAAGGGUAUGGCUGUUCGCCAUUUAAAGUGGUACGCGAGCUGGGUUUAGAACGUCGUGAGACAGUUCGGUCCCUAUCUGCCGUGGACGUUUGAGAUUUGAGAGGGGCUGCUCCUAGUACGAGAGGACCGGAGUGGACGAACCUCUGGUGUUCCGGUUGUCACGCCAGUGGCAUUGCCGGGUAGCUAUGUUCGGAAUAGAUAACCGCUGAAAGCAUCUAAGCGGGAAACUAGCCUCAAGAUGAGAUCUCACUGGGACCUUGAGUCCCCUGAAGGGCCGUCGAAGACUACGACGUUGAUAGGUUGGGUGUGUAAGCGCUGUGAGGCGUUGAGCUAACCAAUACUAAUUGCCCGUGAGGCUUGACCAU
rnacentral:rRNA from 1 species